UCCAUAAUUCCUUCACUCAUAUUGCAGUCAAGUGUAACGUAGCAAAUUUGUUAGCCUACGAAAAUGUCCAGUGAUCAAAGGAAAUACGAAAGUGGGGCCCAAAAAUGAAAAUUUCAGCAACAAAAACAAGAGAGAACUUUGGAGUUGUUAAAGAAGACACCCAAAUUAACCAACUUCUUUAAAUCAGAAAGCCAACAUACCGCUGCUAGUAGUACAACUGAUGUUGAUCAUGAAGAAGAGCCAGGUACUUCAACAUUAGCGUUAGCAAAUAUCAGAGGGAAGAAUCAGAGGUAACAGACAGCGAUGGCGCCGCUGUGGUGGAGGAGAAAGAAAUAUCGUUAGAUGCUGCAUGUUGGGGAGUAAUUACAGAAGACCCCUACUGGGUCAGGAAAGGAGUUACAGCCCCCUCACUGUGUCAGAACAAAGAUGUAAAUUUUUCGGCAUCGGAAAGAAUAUACAAGAAUCAGAAACGAUGUUUAAGUAAACGUUGUUCACCCGUGCACUCCGAAAUGGGGAAAAAGUUUCAAGAGAAUGGCUCGUGUACUCCCUUCGACUGGGAACGUGUAUUGUUUUUUUUUGUAGACUAUUUGGCGAGACAACCUCAUCAUCUGCUUUUGCUCAUUCUGCUUUUUCGGAUUGGAAACAUGCAGUUUGCCGGGGGGAAGAGCAUGAAGCGGGCCAGCCACGCUCACCUGGCUUGCUCGCACACAGGUGCAAGGAAUAGACUUGGCGCAAAAGGAACAGUGCAAAGAUGAGGAGAAUUACUGGAGAGAAGUUUUGAGGCGAGUUGUGGCCAUCAUACAGUUUUUGUCGGAACGUGGCCUUGCCGAAGAACAAGAAAAAGGACCUUUAACAUUACUGGGUCUGAGCAAUCACUUCCACCCGGGAUGCUCAAAGGAAAGAGCAUUUCUGGAAUCCAGAAUCCUCCGAUGGAUGAACCCUGACUGCAGUCUGUUUCCAGACUACUACUUGGGAUUCUUCAGCCAGUUAUCACUCAAGUUGAUACCUUCGAAAAAAAUUAAGUUACCGCGUAAAUUACCGCAUAUAUUGGUACAUAACUAACAGUUCACUUCAAUUUUCUAAUAUUAGGAAAUUCAAGUAUGAGAAUAUCUGUGUGGGAACACCUAUUGAUGUGCAAAUGCAGUCAACACGUACAUAGGUGGAGUGAGAUGGUGAACAUAAAAAUAAGUUACAGCAUAGCAAUUCUAGUUUAAUAGACAAAGCCGCAUGACUGUGGUAGGUCCAUGUGUUCUAUCUACAAAUAAUAUUAUAUUGUUACUUUGCUCAUGUAAUGCGCAGCUAGUCCAGAGACUGCGGUAGCGGAACCUAACGCGCCGCUAGUUCGGGGAAUACGGUAGGGGAGCGGAGCAGCAUUUAAAAGUAAACUCGGAUUUCCAAUAUGGCAGCGUCCCUGGUGUUUUGGAGAAGCGGCAUUCUGAACCAGCUCCGAUUUGUGAAAGUGCAUCCAGCUCUUUGUAAGUAAUUAUUGAAUGAGGUUCACUCGUCUGAUUGUGAUGUUGUUGCUGCUGUACAGGGUACUGACGAUGCUGUUGUCAAGCCGGGCUGUGUCAUUUGUGUGUGUAUUUUAGUUUUGAAGGCUAUGGUCAGCUGGUGCAGCGUGUAGCCGGAUUCAGAAAAGUCGGUUGUGGUGUUACCUUGGUACGCAUAUCAUUAUGUUUUUCUUUGAUAACAGCCCUCUGUAAUAAUAAUAAUGUAUUUUAUUGUUAAUGCACAAACUGAUGAUUGUUACUCUUUGUAGACUGCCGUAGGCUGCUGUCUUGGUGUGCCGGGGGGGACUUGUAGCUGCCGUACAUUAUGGGGAAUACUGAUAGUAUGUGACGUCACCGAGAUGGCAUUGUUAAGGUUUUAAUGUUGCAUGAACAGUGACAUGAACUAUUUGCUGAAUUGAUAUUGUUUGUCUUUUCUGUUGCAUUUCUAAUUAUGUUUUGUGUUUUUUUGGUUUAGCGGGGUUUAUGUCACUGCUUUCUUAGGUUUUAAAAGCACUUUAGCACUAUAAGCACUUUGAUCAGAACCUGAUUUUCCACAGCAUGGACUUUUAGGCAGUGGAAAGUAUGUGUAACCCAAUCUUCCUGUUAUGCAUUUUAAAGGAACAUUUCCUAGAUUAUUAAUAAACUUUGUUUUGUACUAAAAGGAA